GACGUAGGGCGCAAGCGUUGUCCGGAUUUAUUGGGCGUAAAGAGCUCGUAGGCGGCUUGUUGCGUCGUCCGUGAAAACCCGCAGCUCAACUGCGGGCUUGCGGACGAUACGGGCAGGCUGGAGUUCGGUAGGGGAGACUGGAAUUCCUGGUGUAGCGGUGAAAUGCGCAGAUAUCAGGAGGAACACCCGUGGCGAAGGCGGCUCUCUGGGACGGUACUGACGCUGAGACGCGAAAGCGUGGGGAGCGAACAGG
rnacentral:rRNA from 1 species